UGGUCUGAGAGGAUGAUCAGUCACACUGGAACUGAGACACGGUCCAGACUCCUACGGGAGGCAGCAGUAGGGAAUAUUGCGCAAUGGGGGAAACCCUGACGCAGCAACGCCGCGUGGAGGAUGACACUUUUCGGAGCGUAAACUCCUUUUCUUAGGGAAGAAUUCUGACGGUACCUAAGGAAUAAGCACCGGCUAACUCCGUGCCAGCAGCCGCGGUAAUACGGAGGGUGCAAGCGUUACUCGGAAUCACUGGGCGUAAAGGGCGCGUAGGCGGAUUAUCAAGUCUCUUGUGAAAUCUAAUGGCUUAACCAUUAAACUGCUUGGGAAACUGAUAGUCUAGAGUGAGGGAGAGGCAGAUGGAAUUGGUGGUGUAGGGGUAAAAUCCGUAGAUAUCACCAAGAAUACCCAUUGCGAAGGCGAUCUGCUGGAACUCAACUGACGCUAAGGCGCGAAAGCGUGGGGAGCAAACAGGAUUAGAUACCCUGGUAGUCCACGCCCUAAACGAUGUACACUAGUUGUUGGGGUGCUAGUCAUCUCAGUAAUGCAGCUAACGCAUUAAGUGUACCGCCUGGGGAGUACGGUCGCAAGAUUAAAACUCAAAGGAAUAGACGGGGACCCGCACAAGCGGUGGAGCAUGUGGUUUAAUUCGAAGAUACGCGAAGAACCUUACCUGGGCUUGAUAUCCUAAGAACCUUUUAGAGAUAAGAGGGUGCUAGCUUGCUAGAACUUAGAGACAGGUGCUGCACGGCUGUCGUCAGCUCGUGUCGUGAGAUGUUGGGUUAAGUCCCGCAACGAGCGCAACCCACGUAUUUAGUUGCUAACGGUUCGGCCGAGCACUCUAAAUAGACUGCCUUCGUAAGGAGGAGGAAGGUGUGGACGACGUCAAGUCAUCAUGGCCCUUAUGCCCAGGGCGACACACGUGCUACAAUGGCAUAUACAAUGAGACGCAAUACCGCGAGGUGGAGCAAAUCUAUAAAAUAUGUCCCAGUUCGGAUUGUUCUCUGCAACUCGAGAGCAUGAAGCCGGAAUCGCUAGUAAUCGUAGAUCAGCCAUGCUACGGUGAAUACGUUCCCGGGUCUUGUACUCACCGCCCGUCACACCAU
rnacentral:rRNA from 1 species